rnacentral:rRNA from 1 species
AUUGAACGCUGGCGGCAGGCCUAACACAUGCAAGUCGAGCGGAUGAAGGGAGCUUGCUCCUGGAUUCAGCGGCGGACGGGUGAGUAAUGCCUAGGAAUCUGCCUGGUAGUGGGGGAUAACGUCCGGAAACGGGCGCUAAUACUGCAUACGUCCUGAGGGAGAAAGUGGGGGAUCUUCGGACCUCACGCUAUCAGAUGAGCCUAGGUCGGAUUAGCUAGUUGGUGGGGUAAAGGCCUACCAAGGCGACGAUCCGUAACUGGUCUGAGAGGAUGAUCAGUCACACUGGAACUGAGACACGGUCCAGACUCCUACGGGAGGCAGCAGUGGGGAAUAUUGGACAAUGGGCGAAAGCCUGAUCCAGCCAUGCCGCGUGUGUGAAGAAGGUCUUCGGAUUGUAAAGCACUUUAAGUUGGGAGGAAGGGCAGUAAGUUAAUACCUGGCUGUUUUGACGUUACCAACAGAAUAAGCACCGGCGAACUUCGU